CCAAUGACUAUCACAGUUAAAUGGAUCCUAGAAUGCCUGUAGAGAAAUAAAAUGGUAGAAUAAAAUUCUUAAAGUUAAAAAUAAUAACAAAACACUUGGGACUCAGUUCUGUUAACAUGUCUAAACUCAUUCAACCCAUUCAGUAAUUCCAAAUAUUCUGCUUGAACAUAAUGAAAAGUGUUUGUAGACAAGCACCCUAGAAAUUCAAAGGGUUAAAGUAGGGACCCCUGGGUGGCUAAGGGACAUAAAUGGACAGAUAUCUAUCCAAAACAUCAAAAGUAUCCCCCAUUAAGUAGUUGCCUAAUUUCUUAUAGUUGUCUAACCUAUUUUGAGGAGUAAAGUCAUUCACAGCUUUCUGGCUUUAAGACAUGAGCUUAGUGUCUUAAUACUCAUUACUAUAUGCAGAAAUCCAUUUCUCUCUUUGCUAUCUCUUUUGGAAAUCUUUGUUUAAUAAUGCUCAGUAAAUUAGGCCUCUAUAGGGUUGGCUUUAUCCCACCCUGCCAGUUUCUUUCCCUUUUUGUACCUCUGUAAAAUAUCUGCGUAGAGUCUCUGAUUUGAAAUGUUAAUUAAGGUGGGCCUGGCCUCAGGUUACAGUAUACAUUCCUUUUUACAUGCAAAGGGAUAUGCUAACUAGGUCACUGAGAAUCUGAGGGCCAAGAGGGAGGCCUCCAGAAGACAACACAAGUCCAUGAAGAAUGGGGCAGUUUUCAGCAACUCUGAAAGAGACAAUCAGCAAGACCCUGUUGGCUGAAGGAAUAGUAUGUAGAAUAAAAAUUUCUGCAAGAAGAGGAAAGUGACUACAUGAAAGAACAUAUUACCUGCACGUCAGAACAGAAUUUAACUAGCUUGGGGCACCUGCUACUCUGUGUGUGAAAGAAAGCCCUUCCCCAGUCCUGCACUUACAGCCUUCUAUCUGUUCAUCUUGUGCCACAUGACAGGAAGAUUGGAAGAUAUGAGAGGACAUCAGACACUACUACAUUUUCACAAAGCUUUCAUUUUUAUUUCUGGUAUUUUAAAAUAUAUUUAUUUAUUUUUAUUUUAUUUGGAAGGCAGAAAGAGAAACAGAUGGACAGAGGUUCUUCAUCCACUGGCCCACACCCCAAAUGUAUACAAACAGCAAGAUCUGGGACAAGCCAAAGACAGGAACUUGGAACUCAAUCCCAUGUUGGUGACUAGGACUGCAAUACUUGAGUCUUCACCUACUAUCCUCUGGGCUCUGCAUCCCCAGGAAGCUAGGUCAGAAGGAGAGGAAGGUGGACUCAGACAAGGCACUCAGAUGUGGGAUGUUCUACGCUCUAAGCAGCAACCUGACUGCUGCACCAAGCAUCUGUCCUGUUUCUCAUUUUAA
rnacentral:lncRNA from 1 species